UACGGAGGUGGCAAGCGUUGUCCGGAUUUACUGGGUGUAAAGGGCGCGUAGGCGGGAUGGCAAGUCAGAUGUGAAAUACCGGGGCUUAACCUCGGGGCUGCAUUUGAAACUGCUGUUCUUGAGUGAUGGAGAGGCAGGCGGAAUUCCUAGUGUAGCGGUGAAAUGCGUAGAUAUUAGGAGGAACACCAGUGGCGAAGGCGGCCUGCUGGACAUUAACUGACGCUGAGGCGCGAAAGCGUGGGGAGAAAACAGG
rnacentral:rRNA from 1 species